rnacentral:rRNA from 1 species
GGUUCUCUGGCUCAGAUUGAACGCUGGCGAUGCUUUUCGGACACAUGUAAGUCGAACGGCAGCACGGACUUCGGUCUGCGGCGAGGGCGAACGGGUGAGUAAUGUAUCGGAACGUGCCUAGUAGCGGGGAUAACUACGCGAAAGGUAGGCUAAUACGCAUACGCUCCCCGGGGAAAGCGGGGAUCUUUUCGCCUCGCACUAGAGCGGCCGAUAUCGGAUUAGCUAGUUGGUGGGGUAAUUUUGCUCACCAAGGCGACGAUCCGUAGCUGGUUUGAGAGGACGACCAGCCACACUGACCGAGACACGGCCCAGACUGCCACGGGAGGCAGCAGUGGGGAAUUUGGACAAUGGGGAAACCCUGAUCCAGCCAUCCCGCGUGUGCGAUGAAGGCCUUCGGGUUGUAAAGCACUUUGGCAGUGGAAAGAAACGGCACGGGAUAAUACCCCGUGCAACGACGGUACCUGCAGAAUAAGCACCGGCCAUAACUACGCCAGCAGCCGCAGUAAUACGUAGGGGCGCAAGCGUUAACGGGAACACUGGGGCGUAAAGCGUGCGCAGGGCGGUUCGGAAAGAAAGAUGUGAAAUCCCAGAGCUUAACUUUGAACCAGGCAUUUUUUAACUACCGAGCUAGAGUGUGUCAGAGGGAGGUGGAAUUCGUGUAGCAGUGAAAUGCGUAGAUAUGCGAUGAACACCGAUGGCGAAGGCAGCCUCCUGGGAUAACACUGACGCUCAUGCACGAAAGCGUGGGAGCAAACAGGAUUAGAUACCCUGGUAGUCCACGCCCUAAACAUGUCAACUAGCUGUUGGGGCCUUCGGGCCUUAAAGGUGCUGACCGCAGAAGUUGACCGCCUGGGGAGCACGGUCAGCAAAGAUUAAAACUCACAAAGGAAUUCGACGGGGACCACAAGCGGUGAUGAUGGAUUAAUUUUGAUGCAACGCGAAAACCUGACUACCCUGACAUGUCUGAACCUGAAGAGAUUUGGGAGUGUCGCAAGAGAACUGAACACAGUGUGCUUAAGCGCCGUCGUCGCCGCCGUGGAGAUGCGGCUGUCCCACCGAGCAACCCUCGUCAUUAGCUUUCGUUACGAAAGGGCACCCCACGAGACCGUUGCGACAACCGGCAGCUGUGAUGACGUCAAGUCUGGUGGCCUUGCGGGUAGGGGCUCACACGUCACAAUGGCCGGGACAGAGGGUCGCCAACCCAGAGGGCGCGCCAACGUGAAACCCGAUCGCAGUCCGGAUCGCAGUCUGCAACUCGACUGCGUGAAGUCGGAAUCGCUAGUAAUCGCGGAUCAGCAUGUCGCGGUGAAUACGUUCCCGGGUCUUGUACACACCGCCCGUCACACCAUGGGAGGGGGUUUACCAGAAGUAGUUAGCCUAACCGCAAGGAGUGGCGAUUACCACGGUAGGAUCUAUGACUGCGGAAUAACAACCCCA